GGCGUGGUAGCCACGGGACCAAAACAGCGGAGAAGUUGAGCCUCGCGUUUCAACAUUCUUAGUUGUUGCGGAAAUUAAUCCACUAUGCUGUUUACUUUCUGCAUCUAUGUCAUAUCGCUGAGUCUACCUUUAAGUCCAAAUGUUUCUUCUAACAAAAUGCAAAUCCAUUUGUAUUCAUGCACUCAUGCAGUAGACUUGCUGAAAAAAAGAUUCAUCAUUGCACACUGCACAGACACUGUACAUAACCUUUCCAAUUAGGACAUUAUAGAUUUUAGUUUUGUGCCAGGAAGACAGCGAGAGAAAAGCAUGGGAGUGGCCGAUCAUGCAAAUUAAAAAGGAAGAACAAGCUCAUUCAUUGUUCAUGAAUACCUCUGGAGGUUAGUGAUCCACACCCAGAGCCUGAGGGGUACAGAUGAAGAUGCUACAUGUAUCACUGAAGACCAUGCUGACCACCCAUGGUACUAGCGUAAUUGAAGAUCAUGGACCACAUUUCCAACUGCAUGAUGCAAAACUCCCAUUAGAAUUGAAUGCAUCAAAUUGUAUCAGGAAUCAAGGCACCCAGCUGUGUUACCUAGGAGAUGAAAAGGGGUGAAGGUAGGCAAAAGACAUUUGAAACCGGAAUAACCAAGUGAAUGUUUGCAAAGGCAAAAAAAUAAAGAACACUCGCACUUGACUUUUCUUACUAGCACUGACUUGGCUGAUAGCUACCUAUUGAAGGAAAAUGUGCUUACUAUGACUGUGAUUUGCAGUUGUCUCUUAUCUACCUGAGAUGAAUGAAUGAAGAGCAUCUGCUAAAUGACCGAAAUGUAAAGGUAAAAUGUACUCUGAGUUAAAUGGUCUGUAUGCAUAUCAGAUAAUAAAACAUACACUGCACAGAGAUGCUUGUUGUCUUGUAAGUCAGUGAAACAGAG
rnacentral:lncRNA from 1 species